rnacentral:tRNA from 1 species
UCACUGCGUAGCUUAUAUAUUCAAAGCAUCUGGCCUACACCCAGAAGAUUCCACUACGGACGCUAUGAAC